rnacentral:rRNA from 1 species
UACGGAGGGUGCAAGCGUUAUCCGGAUUCACUGGGUUUAAAGGGUGCGUAGGUGGGUUGGUAAGUCAGUGGUGAAAUCUCCGUGCUUAACAUGGAAACUGCCAUUGAUACUACUGAUCUUGAAUUUUCUGGAGGUAAGCGGAAUAUGUCAUGUAGCGGUGAAAUGCUUAGAUAUGACAUAGAACACCAAUUGCGAAGGCAGCUUACUACGGGAACAUUGACACUGAGGCACGAAAGCGUGGGGAUCAAACAGG